UACAGAGGUCUCAAGCGUUGUUCGGAUUCAUUGGGCGUAAAGGGUGCGUAGGCGGCGCGGUAAGUCGGGUGUGAAAUCUCGGGGCUUAACUCCGAAACUGCAUUCGAUACUGCCGUGCUCGAGGACUGGAGAGGAGACUGGAAUUUACGGUGUAGCGGUGAAAUGCGUAGAUAUCUGGAGGAAUACCGGUGGCGAAGGCGGCAUCCUGGACCAUUACUGACGCUGAGGCGCGAAAGCUAGGGGAGCAAACGGG
rnacentral:rRNA from 1 species